CUUGCUCCGCAGGCUGGCCGGACACCGGGGUCCCCGGGCCCCGCGUCCCUGGAGGACUCCAGAUUGGGGGAGGGGCGGUGGAGGUGGCCUUAAAAGGGCGGCGCCGCGUCAGCGAGGUCGCUCAGGGUCCGCCUUCCGGCCCGCUGCAACUCGCAGAAGCGCGGAUCUCCGCCCGCCAGGUGUCCGUCCUCGCGUCCGGCGGGGCCGCGCCGGGAGGCCCGCACGGGAGGGACCCGAUACUAGGGGCGGCCGCCGCGAGGACGCCCCCUGGUGCGCGAGAUGAGCAAACAGAGGCACCAGGAGGCUCCGUAACCUGCCCCAGAUCCCACAGCUGGAAAGCGGUGGAGCUGAGACUCGGACGUGGGCAGCGUAGCUGCAGAGUCUCCGUCCUCACCGCCGGGCAACACUGCCUCUCGAACCACACCGACUCACCGAAGACGUGCAUCCGCACAGUUGUGCCACCGGAAGCAUUGAUCGCUCGUUCUGGAAUGAGUUGUGGAAAGGACAGUCUGCAUGCCAGGGACCUCUGUGACAUCACUGACUUUGGACAAAGAAAAAACUUCAGGCUCUAAAGCAGGAAUACAAUAUAAUCACUGCACAAGGCAAGUCAGAGAAAAUAUUCCAUCCAGCUCCCUAAGCAGAAAAACAACCACUUCCUAAGAAUUCUAUAUCACAACACGAAGGUCAAAGCAAAUGGCUAAUAUUUGGGAAAGAAAAACUAGCAGAAUAUAUAUAUAUAAAAGGAACACACCCUAGACCUAGAAAUGGGCUCUCAAGAGCCAGAAGUGCUUUAAGAAAAAAGGCAAACUUUAAAUUAUUGUCAUGGACUGAAUGUUUGUGCCCCCCCCAAAAAAAUCCAUGUGUUGAAGCCUUAAGUCCCAGUAUGACGGGGCCGGAGAUGAGACCGUGGGGAGAUUAUCAGGGUUAUGUGAGGUCGUGUGACGGUGGGCCCGGGUCUGAUGGGGUCAGUGCUCUGAUGAGACACCAGAGAGCAAGCAUGUGUGCUUGCGCUCUCUCUCCCUCCCUCCCUCUCUCUCCCUCCCUCCCUCUCUCUCCCUCCCUCCCUCUCUCUCUUCCCCUCCCCAACCCCACCUCCCUCUUCUUGUCUCCCUGCCGCAUGAGGACACAGCAAGAAGGUGGUUGUCUGCAAGGACAAGAAGAGAGCUCUCACUAGAAACCAAACUGGCCAACACCCUGAUCUUAGACUUUCAAACCUCCAAAGUGGUGAGAACUCCCUGGCUCACAGAUCCCGAUACCCUUGGAAUUUCCCAAGUGUUGAGAAUGAUAAAUUAUGUGAAUGAAGUGGCUUUUGGAAAGCACCUCAGGAUAGAGACUGGUUGCUAGUGGAACCAACCAUGUGAUCAGAGGGUUGGACCUUCCACUUCCUUCAUCCCCCGCCUCUGGAGAGGAAAGAGGGCCUGGAGAUGAUAAUGUGCAAGCAGUGGUGAUCAACCCUUUAAUCAGUCCUGCCCAUAUAACGAAGCCUCCAUAAGAACCCGAAAGGACCGGGGUUGGAGAGCUUUGGGGAUGCUGAACACGUGGAGACGAAAAAAGGGAUCGCAAGGGAGCAGUGGGGGAGGGCCGUUUGGAAAGCCGGUGCCUCCCAUCCCAAUUACAGACAGACAACAAUGGAUGAGGGUGGAGGAACGUGGCAGACUGAGACAUCCUUAGGAGGCGGAGUAAGUGCCUCCUCCUAGGGUGAAGAGGACGUUUCUGCUGCCUCUUGGACCCAAUGUGCUUGGAGCAUGGAAGCAUCUGGAGCACCACGUUUCCUUAGUGCUGCCAAAACAAGUUAACUCAUCCGUGGCUUAUCUCAUAUCCGCCCCGGGGAUCUCAUGGGAGGAUAUAGCCCUUACUUCUAAAAUAAUGCGUAGAAAACAAAAAUAGAGUGGAAAGAAGUUUCUGCACAUGAUCUUUAUAAUUGCUUUUCAAAAUAACUUACUCAAAUAAAGUUAACAUAAGGUAA